rnacentral:rRNA from 1 species
UACGUAGGGUGCAAGCGUUGUCCGGAAUUAUUGGGCGUAAAGAGCUCGUAGGCGGUCUGUCGCGUCUGCUGUGAAAACUCAGGGCUUAACCCUGAGCCUGCUUCCGAUACGGGCAGACUAGAGGUAUGCAGGGGAGAACGGAAUUCCUGGUGUAGCGGUGAAAUGCGCAGAUAUCAGGAGGAACACCGGUGGCGAAGGCGGUUCUCUGGGCCGAUACUGACGCUGAGGAGCGAAAGCGUGGGGAGCGAACAGG